UUCAUGAGAAAUUAAGAGGUAUUUCUAAAUUAACGUUCAAAGUUAAAUGACUUCCUUUAAGCCUUCCUGAAUAUAAAAACCUGGAAAACUGAGAAUCUUCAGACAUGUUUGGUUUGAGACAAUAACA